rnacentral:rRNA from 1 species
GACGAACGCUGGCGGCGUGCUUAACACAUGCAAGUCGAACGGUAAGGCCCUUCGGGGUACACGAGUGGCCAACGUGUGAGUACCACGUGGGUGAUCUGCCCUGCACUUCGGGAUAAGCCUGGGAAACUGGGUCUAAUACCGGAUAGGACCCUGGGAUGCAUGUCCUGGGGUGGAAAGCUUUUGCGGUGUGGGAUGGGCCCGCGGCCUAUCAGGUUGUGGGUGGGGUGAUGGCCUACCAAGGCGUCGGCGGGUAGCCGGCCUGAGAGGGUGACCGGCCACACUGGGACGAAGAUACGGCCCAGACGCCUACGGGAGUCAGCAGUGGGGCAUAUUGCACAAGGGGCGCAAGCCUUAUGCAGCGACGCCGCGUGAGGGAUGACGGCCUUAGGGUUGUAAGCCUCUUUCAGCACCGACGAAGCGCAAGUGACGGUAGGUGCAGAAGAAGGACCGGCCAUCUACGUGCCAGCCGCCGCCGUAA